rnacentral:rRNA from 1 species
AAAAAAGGUAAGCUACUAAGAGCGAAUGGUGGAUGCCUUGACUGGUAAAGGCGAUGAAGGACGUACUAGACUGCGAUAAGCUACGGGGAGCUGUCAAGAAGCUUUGAUCCGUAGAUUUCCGAAUGGGGCAACCCAAUGUAUAGAGAUAUACAUUACCUAUAUAGGAGCGAACGAGGGGAAUUGAAACAUCUUAGUACCCUCAGGAAAAGAAAUCAAUAGAGAUUGCGUCAGUAGCGGCGAGCGAAAGCGUAAGAGGGCAAACCCAGUGCUUGCACUGGGGGUUGUAGGACUGCAAUGUGCAAGAGGUGAGUUUAGCAGAACAUUCUGGAAAGUAUAGCCAUAGAGGGUGAUAGUCCCGUAUGCGAAAAACAAACCUUAGCUAGCAGUAUCCUGAGUAGGGCGGGACACGAGAAAUCCUGUCUGAAGCUGGGUCGACCACGAUCCAACCCUAAAUACUAAUACCAGAUCGAUAGUGCACAAGUACCGUGAGGGAAAGGUGAAAAGAACUGAGGUGAUCAGAGUGAAAUAGAACCUGAAACCAUUUGCUUACAAUCAUUCAGAGCACUAUGUAGCAAUACAGUGUGAUGGACUGCCUUUUGCAUAAUGAGCCUGCGAGUUGUGGUGUCUGGCAAGGUUAAGCAAACGCGAAGCCGUAGCGAAAGCGAGUCUGAAUAGGGCGCUUAGUCAGAUGCUGCAGACCCGAAACGAAGUGAUCUAUCCAUGAGCAAGUUGAAGCUAGUGUAAGAACUAGUGGAGGACUGAACCCAUAGGCGUUGAAAAGCCCCGGGAUGACUUGUGGAUAGGGGUGAAAGGCCAAUCAAACUUCGUGAUAGCUGGUUCUCUCCGAAAUAUAUUUAGGUAUAGCGUUGUGUCGUAAUAUAAGGGGGUAGAGCACUGAAUGGGCUAGGGCAUACACCAAUGUACCAAACCCUAUCAAACUCCGAAUACCUUAUAUGUAAUCACAGCAGUCAGGCGGCGAGUGAUAAAAUCCGUCGUCAAGAGGGAAACAACCCAGACUACCAGCUAAGGUCCCUAAAUCUUACUUAAGUGGAAAACGAUGUGAAGUUACUUAAACAACCAGGAGGUUGGCUUAGAAGCAGCCAUCCUUUAAAGAAAGCGUAAUAGCUCACUGGUCUAGUGAUUUUGCGCGGAAAAUAUAACGGGGCUAAAGUAAGUACCGAAGCUGUAGACUUGCGCACAACUUAGAUUAUUUAAGUUUAGAAUAUGAGAAACUAAGUUAUGUUUAGUUAUAUUUUUACUGAUUUUUAUAGAGUAAAGAUAGAAAUAAAACUUAGUAAAAUCAGUAAAAAUAUUCUUAGGCUAAAGUUAAGUAGUUUAAGUUGUGUGCAAGUGGUAGGAGAGCGUUCUAUUUGCGUCGAAGGUAUACCGGUAAGGAGUGCUGGAGCGAAUAGAAGUGAGCAUGCAGGCAUGAGUAGCGAUAAUUAAUGUGAGAAUCAUUAACGCCGUAAACCCAAGGUUUCCUACGCGAUGCUCGUCAUCGUAGGGUUAGUCGGGUCCUAAGUCGAGUCCGAAAGGGGUAGACGAUGGCAAAUUGGUUAAUAUUCCAAUACCAACAUUAGUGUGCGAUGGAAGGACGCUUAGGGCUAAGGGGGCUAGCGGAUGGAAGUGCUAGUCUAAGGUCGUAGGAGGUUAUACAGGCAAAUCCGUAUAACAAUACUCCGAGAACUGAAAGGCUUUUUGAAGUCUUCGGAUGGAUAGAAGAACCCCUGAUGCCGUCGAGCCAAGAAAAGUUUCUAAGUUUAGCUAAUGUUGCCCGUACCGUAAACCGACACAGGUGGGUGGGAUGAGUAUUCUAAGGCGCGUGGAAGAACUCUCUUUAAGGAACUCUGCAAAAUAGCACCGUA